AUGCUUUCCGCCGGAGAACUACGAGUGAAAAACUUAAAACUCAAAGGACUUGGCGGUAUCCCACAUCGGCCUAGAGGAGCCUGUCCUAUAAUCGAUACCCCCCGUUCCACCCAACCUUAGUUAGCCCCAUCAGCCUAUAUACCGCCGUCGACAGUCUACCCCAUGAGGGUCCAACAGUAGACAUAAAAGCAACCCCGCUAGUACGUCAGGUCAAGGUGUAGCAAAUACUGAGGCAGAGAUUGGCUACAUUUUUUAAAAUAAAAAAAACGAAAUGCGCCAUGAAACAUCACAUGAAGGUGAAUUUAGCAGUAAAACAGAUAAGAGUGUUUGUUUUAACACCGCUCUGGGAUGCG
rnacentral:rRNA from 1 species